AUUUCUAGAAUGGGUCAAUAAAAUUUUCUAUUUUUACAAUAAUUAUUACCACUCCUUCUGUGUUUAACAUCUGUUGAUGGGCUGUCCAGCAGCAGCAAGCAAAGCAGAGAUGGAAAGAACUAGCAGAAGGAUUGAACACUGCUGUUUCCAGCAUGCCUUGGUGUAUAUACAUUUUGUGGCAAGAAAUCACCUGUUGGAAACUGUUGAUGGGCUGUCCAGCAGCAGCAAGCAAAGCAGAGAUGGAAAGAACUAGCAGAAGGAUUGAACACUGCCAUUUCCAGCAUGCCUCAUUGUAUAUACACUAUCCUACCAAAAGUCAUGGGACAUGGGUAGUUAUGAAUAAAGCAUGUCUGUUCCAAGAAAUUAAUAGCAUAUUGGCCUGCCUUUGGUCUUAAUGACUGCUUCAAUGCGUCGUGGAAGACUAAUUUCUGGUAGAAAGCUGGUGGUAUUGUGCUCCACUCCUGAAGAGGGCCAUCUUGGCCUAGCCCUAAUUCUGCAUUCCAGUUCAUCCCAAAGAUGUUUAUCAGGUUGAGGUUGGUGCUCUGUGCUGGCCACUGAAUUAUUCCGAUGUUAUUCUCUUCAAACCAUGCGUUCAUCAAUCGUUGCUUUGUGACAUGGAGUGGUAUCAUGUCGGAAGGUGUAAGGGCGGGUACCAUAAAAUUACCACAAUGUAGGACACACAGAAUUAUUCAGAACAUCAGUGUAGGACUUGGCAUUUAUGGAUCCAUGCACUGUGACCAGUGGACCUAGUCCAUACCACAAGAAGCACCCCUGAACCAUGAUACCACCAUCUCCAAACUUCACUGUUGGGAUAACAAACUCAGGUAAUAAGCAUUCUCCAGGCAUCCUCUAUACCCAAACAUGUCCAUCAGACUGGAUGAGUGUGUAGUGUAACUCAUCACUCCACAGGACCAAUUUCUAUUGAUCCAGGUUCGGUAUGUUUUGCCCCAUGCCAAUUGACAGUGUGCAUUUGUUUUUGUUAUCAACGGCUUGUGGGCUGCAGCUCUUCCAUGAAAAUUCAUGGCAUGCAGCUCUCGACACAUCAUGGAAACACAUGUAGGAUUGCCUAUAGCUGCUCACAUCCCCAAACAUAGGUUCUCUAGGGUCUGAUGGCGAGAUAAGGUAACCAGUCUUCUCAAGGCAUGUCGGCUUCUGUCAGUCAGUAUUUUAUGCUUACUUGGUCAUUUCUUGGGCUCAUUGUCAACCUGGGAAUGUCUAAUUGUUGCACAACAGCAUGUAGAGACAUUUUCCCCAAAAGGCAUCUACUUAUCCUUCCCCUCUGAAACUCUGUUAGCUCUUUCCGUGUACUCAUUGUUUAGCGUAAAAGUUCAAAAUGAUUUCCAAGCAGAUCGCUUAUCACCUUCAUAGGCCAAACUGUUUAGAUAUUUUGUUGUCACACCCAUUUUCCUGCAAUCAGAGGUGUGUCCCAUGACUAUUGGUAGGACAGUGUAUGGCUGGUGGUGAGAGAUCCAUGACUAUUGGUAGGAUGAUGUACAUCUGGUGGCGAGAGAUCCAUGACUAUUGGUAGGACAGUGUACGUCUGGUGGUGAGAGGUCCAUGACUAUUAGUAGGAUGAUGUACGUCUGGUGGAGAGAGAUCCAUGACUACUGGUGGGACAGUGUACGUCUGGUGGUGAGAGGUCCAUGACUAUUGGUAGGAUGAUGUACGUCUGGUGGUGAGAGAUCCAUGACUAUUAGUAGGAUGAUGUACGUCUGGUGGAGAGAGAUCCAUGACUACUGGUAGGAUGAUGUACGUCUGGUGGAGAGAGAUCCAUGACUAUUGAUAGGACGGUGUACGUCUGGUGGAGAGAGAUCCAUGACUAUUGAUUGGACAGUGUACGUCUGGUGGAGAGAGAUCCAUGACUAUUGAUAGGACGGUGUACGUCUGGUGGAGAGAGAUCCAUGACUAUUGGUAGGACAGUGUACGUCUGGUGGAGAGAGAUCCAUGACUAUUGGUAGGAUGGUGUACGUCUGGUGGAGAGAGAUCCAUGACUAUUGGUAGGAUGGUGUACGUCUGGUGGAGAGAGAUCCAUGAUUAUUGGUAGGACGGUGUACAUCUGGUGGAGAGAGAUCCAUGACUAUUGGUAGGACGGUGUACGUCUGGUGGCAAGAGAUCCAUAAACUCUACUGUAUCUUCAAGUAGUUUCUGUACCCUUUAAAACCAAGUAAAAAUAGAUAAUCUCCUGAAGGUCCUUUAUCUGUGAGUGUGGACUAAUUUAAACAAAAUAUGCCGAGGAGAAUCCUGUUCAUGGGUUUUUAAUUUAGUCUAAAUAAUGCUUUAAGUGCUUAUUAUUCAUAAAUGUGUGUGUCUGUAUGUAUAUAAUAUCUGAGGAUAAAUAUUUUGUUUUAACCAAAAAUUACAGUUUUUAAACUAUAACAAAGCACUUAUUCCCUGGCUUCAAAGUGAUAAAUAGAGCUGCUUGAAAUGUGUAAAGUUCAAAAUCUUGAGAGUCUAAAAUAAAAGAAUUACUAAAGAUAAAAUGUUAUUAAUGGAGGACAGGAAUAAACAAAGUUAGAAGUAACUGUAAGGAAGCUAGUGAAAUUACAAGAAAUAAUGUUUCAAUCUAAGAAUUACUUAAUAUCUAUAAAAUUUAAUUUUUUCUCACCAGUCUUUGGAGAUAUUUUAGUAUUUGUUAUCUCUAAACUGUAAGACAACUGAAAUUUGAUCCUUAAGCUGUGUGUUCACAUUAAUUCAACUGUGGUUUGGAUUCACAGCAGGCAUUAUUUAAAACCUUCUAGAAAUGGCUGUAAAAAAUCUUGCCAUCCCAUUGAGUAUAGAUUCAUGCACCCUGUUUUUCAGACUUGAAGAGAGAAAUUUAUGGGUUUGUUUAAUUUGCUAUAUAUCACUUAACUGUAUUGUUCUGUGUAAACAUUUUUCUCCCCUUCUGAUAAUUAGGGCUCAUACAGGACUUGUUUGGCAAUUUUUUGGAGAGCUUGGAAUGUUAACUUACCAAUAUCAAGGCAAAAAGCCAUGUGUAAUUGUGAAACAGUAUUAAAAGCUCCUGAAGGCCAUAACUCGAUGUAGCUAGCCAAGACUGAUUACAAGAAGCUUGUGAAUUCCAUAAAUCAUUGCAACUGACCCAAACUAAUGCAUGGAUAAUACGAAAUGUAAUCUGAACUUUAGAAAAAAGCAAAAAAAGCUGACACGGGAGGAAAUUGAGUUCCUCCUAAAUAUUUCAUUUUCUUCUGAUGAAGGAGGCCUGUCAGAAGCAUCUGAAGAAGUUGAAUCUUCUCCUGAAAUGCCUCUGACAGAAGUUUUUCAUAGAAGUCAAUGGCUUAAAAAUAUUGAACCAGGUCAAGUUCACUAAGAGAAGAUGGUCUUGAAGAACCACCACCACCAAAAAGAGUCGGAGCAGAGAGGAGCAGAUUUAGAGCCUCUACUGGAGCCGUUCCUUCCAAGCAGAAGAGGUGUCUCUCCUGUAAUGAUACAUGGAGAUGAACAGGAACAAAAACAAUGUACAAAAUUAUCAGAGAGGAACCUGUUUCCCAACAGGUUACAUCUGCUAUAGAUUCUCUUGAUUCAGAGAGGAACCUGUUUCCCAACAGGUUACAUCUGCUAUAGAUUCUCUUGAUUCAGAGGGGAACCUGUUUCCCAACAGGUUACCUCUGCUAUAGAUUCUGUUGAUUUUUUAAACUUUUUUUUUUCUGAUCAGUGAGACAAAUAGGUAUGCUAGUGACAACGAAACUGUAGUUUAAAAAAAAAAACCUGUGAAAUGGACUAAUGUUAAUAUUGAAGACAUUUUUGGUCUCACUAUAACUAUUGGUCUCAAGCCUCUUACUUCUUUUCCUGAUUACUGGUGUUCCUAUCCUCUUUUUUGUGCUCUUGGGUUUACUAAUAUCUUAUCUAGGGGCAGUUUUUUUUUUCUUCUUAGAUACUUACAUUUCAAUAACAAUACUAAUGCUCUACCUAAAACUGCUCCUAACUAUGAUAAACUUUUAAAAGUAAGACCUAUUGUAGACCUUCUUCUGAAAUCCUUUGUUUCCCACUCUUCUCCUAACAGAGAGCUAUCUAUAGAUGAGUAGAUGUAGAAUUGGUUUCCUUUAGUAUAUAUCCAAGAAACCUGUCAAGUUUGGUAUCAAGUUGUGGGUCCUGGGAGAAGCUGUGAGUGGAUACUGUCUUAAAUUUAAAAUCUACACAAGCAAAGAGGGACAAACGCCAUCUAGGGGUCUUGUAGACAAAGUUGUGAUGGAACUGGUGGACAAAUACAAGAUAUUAGGAUACUGGGUUUUCAUGGACAGUUUUUACACUUCCCCGAUUUAUUUAAUCAGUUAUUGUCUGUUGGAACCUAUGCUUGUAGCAAAGACAGAUUGUAUUUCCCAAAGGACUGGCAGCUACAAACUUAGGUAAGAGAGAAGCAUGUAUUAUUAAAUGUGGAACAGCUGUAAAAUGAACUGACAAACAAGAUAUUUUAUUAAAUGAUGAACAGCUGUAAUAUGGACUGACAAACAAAGUGUGUUAUUAAACGAUGAACUUUGACAGCUGUAAAAUGGACUGAGAAACAAGGUGUGUUAUUAAAUGAUGAACUUUGACAGCUGUAAAAUGGACUGACAAACAAGGUGUGUUAUUAAAUGAUGAACUUUGACAGCUGUAAAAUGGACUGACAAACAAGGUGUGUUAUUAAA